rfam:Asian citrus Psyllid, Diaphorina citri - Florida Strain, whole genome shotgun sequence.
GCCUAGUUCGCUUAGUUGGUAGUGCGUCUGCCUUAUAAGCGCUAGGCCGCGGGUUCGAUUCCCGCCCGGGGCG